GUGGGGAAUCUUCCACAAUGGACGAAAGUCUGAUGGAGCAACGCCGCGUGAGUGAAGAAGGGUUUCGGCUCGUAAAGCUCUGUUGUCGGGGACGAAUGUGCAGUAUUUGAAUAAAGUAGUGCAAUGACGGUACCUGACGAGGAAGCCACGGCUAACUACGUGCCAGCAGCCGCGGUAAUACGUAGGUGGCAAGCGUUGUCCGGAAUUAUUGGGCGUAAAGGGAGCGCAGGCGGGAAGGUAAGUCGGUCUUAAAAGUGCGGGGCUCAACCCCGUGAUGGGAUCGAAACUAUCUUUCUUGAGUGCAGGAGAGGAAAGUGGAAUUCCUAGUGUAGCGGUGAAAUGCGUAGAUAUUAGGAGGAACACCAGUGGCGAAGGCGACUUUCUGGACUGUAACUGACGCUGAGGCUCGAAAGCCAGGGGAGCGAACGGGAUUAGAUACCCCGGUAGUCC
rnacentral:rRNA from 1 species